CCCAAAAAUUGUCUGACAACCCUAAAGCCUCUAAAGUUUACAUUACCCAUAAGCACUCUGUUACAUUGCGCCAGAUGUACUGUAUUUCAAUGGGGAUGUCCACAACAGAUUGGAAACGCAACGCCCCCUUGCUGUUGAAGGCUCCGUUGUUAGACAGACGCAGCAUACUUAGAAUUUUUUUAAACUUUGCAUUGUCUUCAGAGGAAGAUGAAAAUAUGUGGUUUUCGGUGGUGGGUUUAUGAGAUAGCUAGCAACUUAUAAACAAUAACCCAUUCCUAUAAGCUCAGUCACGGUUUCUGCCAACAACAAACUGAACAAGUGUCUGGAUGUAGUUGCCACCGUAACUGCUCUUACUGGCAUUAUUCUCCAUUCUUUAGAUAGUGCUGGGAUCAUGUUGAACUACAACUGGGACUAUCCAUACUACUAUGUCGUGUCAACAGUAUUGGACUGAACUAUCCAAAGGGUCCAGAGGGAGCAGGUAUGGGUACUGGGGUUCAACAGAACCACCUGCCCCCGCAAUACACUGCAGUCAUCCCCUGAAAAACAGACCUCCGUAAAUAAAACACUAUUUUUCUUGUUGAAAUUAUUUUAUUAUCUAUGUUUCCGUUGAAAGCCGGGGCAACUGGCUAGCACAUCACUGUGACCACACAAUUAUAUUGAUAGUGUCUAGUAUUGUUCACAGCUUCUCUAAUUAUGUUAACUAGAAAUAUGGUUAAUAAUAUCAUUGCAUUAUUUUUAAAUGUAUUUGUAAUUGAUUUAUAUUUGUUCUAUAACUGUCAGAAUUGUGUGAAAAAUUACAUUUAUCAAAGAAAAGGAACCACAGUUUAGUCAUGUUAGUUUUGUCAAUGAUUGUUAUAAGACAAAAGUUGAUUUGGCAUCACUUUUUAGAAUUGAAUAUUAAAACACAGCCCAAAUGAAUGUGUCUGAAUGUCCUGAAAAGGAUCAUUACUUCAAUGUCCACACAAUAACAUUUCCAGGGGAAAUACUCAGGUGUUCUGGAGUCACUGAAGGGGCUGAAAACAUUGUUAUAAGGAGAGAUCUUUGAUGCAAUUUCUCUUUAGGUUGAGAGGUGGAUACAGCAGCCUGUCCUGGAGAGUAUUAGGACAUCAUUUUUCUUUUACAUUUCUUUUUAAGGUUUGUAUAAUUCUUGUUUACAGACAAGUGAUGUAGAUCAUGUCGACCAUAAUGACCGGAUGUGACUAGAAGGAGUAUAGCUAUGACCCGUAGUGACUUUUAAUAGCAGGUUAGGAGAGCAAAAACCCUAACCCUUUUCCUAGCCUUAACUUAAUUCUCCUAACCUGCCACAAUAAUUUUCCUAACCUACGAAAGUCUCUUCUGGUCGUAGCUGUACUCCUUUUAGUCAGAACCUGACACACAGGCAAGGGGAGGUGUGUCUGUGUCACACACGACCACAGCACAAAAAACACUUGAUUCCAUUUAUUUAUUCAAAUAUCUAUGAGUGUAUUCUUUCAGAUGUUUUAUGUUUCCAUUACAUAAAGGUCCACAUAGACCAUAUCAUCAUUUGACCACAUCAAAUACUUGAAAACAUCGCUUAAACUUUAUUGACAGAAUAUGAUGCAAGCCAUUGGAGUC